rnacentral:lncRNA from 1 species
UAUCGAGGUGAGAAAGUAAAAGUUGUCAACUUCACAUUUGAUCAAGAAGUGUUAAGAAAGGAGUUAGCAUUAAUGAUUAUCAUGCAUGAACUAGUGUAGUUACCCACGCGAUGCGGCGGGCAGGUAUUAUCGAAAUAUUAGAUUUUUAAUCCAAUCCAACCCACCUUAAACAGAAACUAUAAAAUAAUCCCAAAAUAUACUGUAAAAUAGGUUAAAAAUAGAUAACAAAUAAAAAAUAAGAGAGAGAAAGAGAGAAAAAAAAGAGGAACUCUCACUUGGUAUUGGUCUCUAAGAGGGUGAGACUUGCUAUUGCUUUCGCCGCCACCUCGAUCUCCACUGCCAUUGCUCAUGCUUUCUUUCGCAGCCGCCGCCGCCAUAGCUGCCACCGCCGCUUUGGUCUCUACUGCCAUCACAUUCACCGCCUCCGUCACCACUAUGACCUGAAGCAUCUAAAGAACUCUACAAAAAAAAAAGAGGAGGUAAGGUUGUGGGAGUUAGGGAAAACGGAUGCUAGAGAAGGAGAAAAGACGCGUGGGCUGGAGAGGAGAAAAAAAAGGGGGCUGGGAGUAGGUGACGCGGCGGACGUUGAGAAGAUGAGAAGAUACUAAAGUUAGAAGUUGAAAAGAAAGAAAAAAAAAGAAAAAAAUAGAUCCCACGCCUCAUGCUAAAUGAGAAUAGGAGAAGACACCAAAAUUAGGAGUUAACAAAAAAAAAAAGAAAAAAGUAAAUGGAACCCACACCUUUUGUCAAACGAAGGAGGUCAUAAUUUAUUUUAGAAAAGGAGUAGACUUUUAUUUUCAUGACACGCAUAGGAGAGAAAGGGGCUUUUGUGUGAGUUUGUAUGGUUUACGAUUAUAUUAGGGUUUGGGUGGGUGGAUGCAUUAAUUAAACAUUAUAUAUGAAGGGAAGACGAAGGGUUAGGCUUUUUGUGUGGGCUUAUAAGUUUACGGUUUAGAUAGAGUUAAGUUGGGUGGUCGCGUUAAUUAGACGUUAUGUAUGUAGGGAAGGCGAAAGGUUGGUCUCAUAAGGUGAAAGCCAACAAUGAAGGAAAUACAGCCACAUGGCAUUU